rnacentral:ncRNA from 1 species
UAUAAACCGUUGAAGAGAAUAGUAACUUGUUAACAAUUUUAGAGAGUCAGUGGUUGGUGAAAACUGAUAUUUGUUAUUUAGUGAAUCCGCCUCAGAGGGAUUGCGAUGAGCAAUACGGCAAUUGUGUCGUUAAAUUUCAAUUAAGAUAAUCAUUUUUUAAAGUUGAUUAAUUAGGGUGGUAACGCGGUCUUUCGUCCCUUAC